GUACUAUAUCUGGGGUAGACUUGUUAUCACUACCACCUGUACUAGGGGGUACUUUAUCUGGGGUAGACUUGUUAUCACUACCACCUGUACUAGGGUUACUAUAUCUGGGGUAGACUUGUUAUCACUACCACCUGUACUAGGGUUACUAUAUCUGGGGUAGACUUGUUAUCACUACCACCUGUACUAGGGGUACUUUAUCUGGGGUAGACUUUGUCUGUAGACUUGUUAUCACUACCACCUGUACUAGGGGGUACUAUAUCUGGGGUAGACUUGUUAUCACCACCACCUGUACUAGGGGUACUAUAUCUGGGGUAGACUUGUUAUCACUACCACCUGUACUAGGGGUACUUUAUCUGGGGUAGACUUGUUAUCACUACCACCUGUACUAGGGGUACUAUAUCUGGGGUAGACUUGUUAUCACCACCACCUGUACUAGGGGUACUAUAUCUGGGGUAGACUUGUUAUCACCACCACCUGUACUAGGGGUACUAUAUCUGGGGUAGACUUGUUAUCACUACCACCUGUACUAGGGGGUACUAUAUCUGGGGUAGACUUGUUAUCACUACCACCUGUACUAGGGGGUACUUUAUCUGGGGUAGACUUGUUAUCACUACCACCUGUACUAGGGGGUACUUUAUCUGGGGUAGACUUCGUCUGUAGACUUGUUAUCACUACCACCUGUACUAGGGGGUACUUUAUCUGGGGUAGACUUGUUAUCACUACCACCUGUACUAGGGGUACUUUAUCUGGGGUAGACUUGUUAUCACUACCACCUGUACUAGGGGGUACUUUAUCUGGGGUAGACUUCGUCUGUAGACUUGUUAUCACUACCACCUGUACUAGGGGGUACUUUAUCUGGGGUAGACUUGUUAUCACUACCCCCUGAACUAGGGGGUACUUUAUCGGGGGUAGACUUUGUCUGUAGACUUGUUAUCAUGACCCCCUGUACUAGGGGGUACUUUAUCUGGGGUAGACUUCAUCUGUAGACUUGUUAUCACUACCCCCUGUACUAGGGGUACUAUAUCUGGGGUAGACUUAUCACUACCACCUGUACUAGGGGUACUUUAUCUGGGGUAGACUUGUUAUCACUACCCCCUGUACUAGGGGGUACUUUAUCUGGGGUAGACUUGGUCUGUAGACUUGUUAUCACUACCAACUGUACUAAGGGGUACUUUAUCUGGGGUAGACUUGUUAUCACUACCACCUGUACUAGGGGGUACUUUAUCUGGGGUAGACUUGGUCUGUAGACUUGUUAUCACUACCCCCUGUACUAGGGGUACUAUAUCUGGGGUAGACUUGUUAUCACUACCACCUGUACUAGGGGGUACUUUAUCUGAGGUAGACUUUGUCUGUAGACUUGUUAUCACUACCACCUGUACUAGGGGGUACUUUAUCUGGGGUAGACUUGUUAUCACUACCCCCUGUACUAGGGGGUACUUUAUCUGGGGUAGACUUGUUAUCACUACCCCCUGUACUAGGGGUACUUUUUCUGGGGUAGACUUUGUUUGAAGAAAGAUGUUACAAUAAAUUGUGAUAAUGGUUGUUAAUCUUGUUGAUUUACUAUUAUUUAAUUAAAGGACUGAUUAUGUAUGUAUAUCUUCUCAAAUAAAUUAUCAUUGGUGCUGC